rnacentral:rRNA from 1 species
UUAAGCGACUAAGCGUACACGGUGGAUGCCCUGGCAGUCAGAGGCGAUGAAGGACGUGCUAAUCUGCGAAAAGCGUCGGUAAGGUGAUAUGAACCGUUAUAACCGGCGAUGUCCGAAUGGGGAAACCCAGUGCAAUUCGUUGCACUAUCGUUAACUGAAUACAUAGGUUAACGAGGCGAACCGGGGGAACUGAAACAUCUAAGUACCCCGAGGAAAAGAAAUCAACCGAGAUUCCCCCAGUAGCGGCGAGCGAACGGGGAGCAGCCCAGAGUCUGAAUCAGCUUGUGUGUUAGUGGAACGGUCUGGAAAGUCCGACGGUACAGGGUGAUAGUCCCGUACACCAAAAUGCACAGGCUGUGAACUCGAAGAGUAGGGCGGGACACGUGGUAUCCUGUCUGAAUAUGGGGGGACCAUCCUCCAAGGCUAAAUACUCCUGACUGACCGAUAGUGAACCAGUACCGUGAGGGAAAGGCGAAAAGAACCCCGGCGAGGGGAGUGAAAAAGAACCUGAAACCGUGUACGUACAAGCAGUGGGAGCACCUUCGGGUGUGACUGCGUACCUUUUGUAUAAUGGGUCAGCGACUUAUAUUCUGUAGCAAGGUUAACCGUAUAGGGGAGCCGCAGGAAACCGAGUCUUAACUGGGCGUUAAGUUGCAGGGUAUAGACCCGAAACCCGGUGAUCUAGCCAUGGGCAGGUUGAAGGUUGGGUAACACUAACUGGAGGACCGAACCGACUAAUGUUGAAAAAUUAGCGGAUGACUUGUGGCUGGGGGUGAAAGGCCAAUCAAACCGGGAGAUAGCUGGUUCUCCCCGAAAGCUAUUUAGGUAGCGCCUCGUGAACUCAUCUUCGGGGGUAGAGCACUGUUUCGGCUAGGGGGUCAUCCCGACUUACCAACCCGAUGCAAACUACGAAUACCGAAGAAUGUUAUCACGGGAGACACACGGCGGGUGCUAACGUCCGUCGUGAAGAGGGAAACAACCCAGACCGCCAGCUAAGGUCCCAAAGUCAUGGUUAAGUGGGAAACGAUGUGGGAAGGCACAGACAGCCAGGAUGUUGGCUUAGAAGCAGCCAUCAUUUAAAGAAAGCGUAAUAGCUCACUGGUCGAGUCGGCCUGCGCGGAAGAUGUAACGGGGCUAAACCAUGCACCGAAGCUGCGGCAGCGACACUAUGUGUUGUUGGGUAGGGGAGCGUUCUGUAAGCCUGCGAAGGUGUGCUGUGAGGCAUGCUGGAGGUAUCAGAAGUGCGAAUGCUGACAUAAGUAACGAUAAAGCGGGUGAAAAGCCCGCUCGCCGGAAGACCAAGGGUUCCUGUCCAACGUUAAUCGGGGCAGGGUGAGUCGACCCCUAAGGCGAGGCCGAAAGGCGUAGUCGAUGGGAAACAGGUUAAUAUUCCUGUACUUGGUGUUACUGCGAAGGGGGGACGGAGAAGGCUAUGUUAGCCGGGCGACGGUUGUCCCGGUUUAAGCAUGUAGGCUGAUUGUCCAGGCAAAUCCGGAUAAUCAAGGCUGAGGUGUGAUGACGAGGCACUACGGUGCUGAAGUAACAAAUGCCCUGCUUCCAGGAAAAGCCUCUAAGCAUCAGGUAACAUCAAAUCGUACCCCAAACCGACACAGGUGGUCAGGUAGAGAAUACCAAGGCGCUUGAGAGAACUCGGGUGAAGGAACUAGGCAAAAUGGUGCCGUAACUUCGGGAGAAGGCACGCUGGUGUGUAGGUGAAGUCCCUGCGGAUGGAGCUGAGACCAGUCGAAGAUACCAGCUGGCUGCAACUGUUUAUUAAAAACACAGCACUGUGCAAACACGAAAGUGGACGUAUACGGUGUGACGCCUGCCCGGUGCCGGAAGGUUAAUUGAUGGGGUUAUCCGUAAGGAGAAGCUCUUGAUCGAAGCCCCGGUAAACGGCGGCCGUAACUAUAACGGUCCUAAGGUAGCGAAAUUCCUUGUCGGGUAAGUUCCGACCUGCACGAAUGGCGUAAUGAUGGCCAGGCUGUCUCCACCCGAGACUCAGUGAAAUUGAACUCGCUGUGAAGAUGCAGUGUACCCGCGGCAAGACGGAAAGACCCCGUGAACCUUUACUAUAGCUUGACACUGAACAUUGAGCCUUGAUGUGUAGGAUAGGUGGGAGGCUUUGAAGCGUGGACGCCAGUCUGCGUGGAGCCAACCUUGAAAUACCACCCUUUAAUGUUUGAUGUUCUAACGUUGGCCCCUGACCGGGGUUGCGGACAGUGUCUGGUGGGUAGUUUGACUGGGGCGGUCUCCUCCCAAAGCGUAACGGAGGAGCACGAAGGUUAGCUAAUCCGGUCGGACAUCAGGAGGUUAGUGCAAUGGCAUAAGCUAGCUUGACUGCGAGCGUGACGGCGCGAGCAGGUGCGAAAGCAGGUCAUAGUGAUCCGGUGGUUCUGAAUGGAAGGGCCAUCGCUCAACGGAUAAAAGGUACUCCGGGGAUAACAGGCUGAUACCGCCCAAGAGUUCAUAUCGACGGCGGUGUUUGGCACCUCGAUGUCGGCUCAUCACAUCCUGGGGCUGAAGUAGGUCCCAAGGGUAUGGCUGUUCGCCAUUUAAAGUGGUACGCGAGCUGGGUUUAGAACGUCGUGAGACAGUUCGGUCCCUAUCUGCCGUGGGCGCUGGAGAAUUGAGGGGGGCUGCUCCUAGUACGAGAGGACCGGAGUGGACGCAUCACUGGUGUUCGGGUUGUCAUGCCAAUGGCACUGCCCGGUAGCUAAAUGCGGAAGAGAUAAGUGCUGAAAGCAUCUAAGCACGAAACUUGCCCCGAGAUGAGUUCUCCCUGAGACUUUAAGUCUCCUGAAGGAACGUUAAAGACGAUGACGUUGAUAGGCCGGGUGUGUAAGCGCAGCGAUGCGUUGAGCUAACCGGUACUAAUGAACCGUGAGGCUUAACCU